rnacentral:rRNA from 1 species
GACGUAGGGCGCGAGCGUUGUCCGGAUUUACUGGGCGUAAAGAGCGCGCAGGCGGUCGUUCAAGUCGCGUGUGAAAGCCCCCGGCUCAACUGGGGAGGGUCACGCGAUACUGAUCGACUCGAAGGCAGGAGAGGGUAGUGGAAUUCCCGGUGUAGUGGUGAAAUGCGUAGAUAUCGGGAGGAACACCAGUGGCGAAGGCGACUACCCGGCCUGUUCUUGACGCUGAGGCGCGAAAGCUAGGGGAGCAAACGGG